rnacentral:lncRNA from 1 species
AAAAAUCUUCUAGGAGCAGCUAACAAGAAUCCUAAUACAGGAGUGUUUAUGGUUGGGUUGAGACACAUUCAGUAGCUGAGUGAUUGACAGCAAGAGGAGCAAGACAUGAGGUUAAUAAUUAUCAAAUAUAUGGCAAUGCUGGACUUUAGCUGAUCAUCGUGCUUCUGGAAAACAACAAAAAUUGAGAUAUCUGUUCACCACUUUGUGUGUCCAAGGACCACCUACUUUUUACAUGUGACAAGAACUACCCACCUCCACUCUUCAGGAUAGAACAUGCUGAAGAAAAGAGUUGCAAUGAGAAAAUAUAUGGGAACAAAAUACCUAUGCAAUGCAGAAGUCUGCAUAACUGAACCACUCAGAGGAAAAAGAUUGCCAUUUCAGGACACCUCCUACAUCUGAGGAAAUAUGCAUUGAUCUUGCAGUACUUUUCUCCUCCAAAUAAAAGCACUGCCAUUCACAUUGCUAGGUUAAAAAUCAAAGAAGUUAACAUUGUUUAACAAAUACACUGGGCCGGGCGUGGUGGCUCACGCCUGUAACCCCAGCACUUUGGGAAGCUGAGGUGGGCAGAUCACCUGAGGUCAGGAGUUCGAGACCAGCUUGACCAAUAUGAUGAAACCUCGUCUCUGCUAAAAAUACAAAAAU